UUGGAAGUAAAUGAAAAAAAACUCAAAUUUUAAACGGAUUAAUAUAUAAAUUAAGGGAAAUAAAAUAAAUAUUUGCGGAAGUUUGGUAUUUAUUACAAAACAUUUAAAUGUAAAAAAUGAAGUUUUACGGUCUUUGAUCGCCCGAUUAAUUGUUAGAUGGCUGCAUUGACACUUCGAUAGGGUUAGGACAGUUUUUAUUGCACAAGUGGGACGUGUGUUAUAUAUAAAAUAGAUAAAUGUGUCUAUUGCACUUAACCAGUGAUUGGAGAUCUGGACAUAUCUGGACUGAAUAAACUGUAAGAUGGCUACAGCCCAUUAGGUUAGGACAGUUCUUCUUGCACGAGCGAGAAAUAUGUAGACAUUUCAAACAGGCGCCUGUAGACAAAUGUGCUAUGACACAAUUCCAGUCUCGAAGAUGGUACAUCCUUGGAAUAAAGGGUUUGUGCUUGUAAAAGUUCGAACUCAAUGCUGCUCUCUUUGUUGUGGAACUGCUAGUUGAACUCCUUUUUUAACAUCGAAUAUCUAAAUCGGUAGCCUGUGGUUUCAAGUAUUACGUAACAAAUUCUUUCGUUACUUU